AGUGCGUCCGAAGCGAAAGGGGUCCGCCUCUCCGGAUUUUUCCGACGGCCGCGGAAGCCUUGGGAAAGGAGUGGGGAUGGCGUGUGGGAGGAGUGGGUGUAACUCUUGGGAGCCCGCGCUAGUACUUUAGCGCCGCCCCUCACCCCGUGGAGUCACCAAAGCAACAUAUGCCUCAGGCAUGCCGGCGCGGGGGACAUUUCCUCUCGACCUCUAACACCUCUCCCCCUGACGGGACGCCAGGCGCUUUGGGCGCGUGCUCAGUUCUUUCUGGGCCGUCGCGGAGCUGGCUCCCCGGCUGACUGUUGACCCGACCGCCUCGAGUUCCGGUGUCCGGCCGAGUGCUGAAGAGACAGCUUCUCGGAUGGAAGGGUACCCGGAGCUGGAAGGCCGUCCUUGUCGCGGGGAGCAGGGCGGUCCAGCUGUCCCCUCCCCCUUUUCCCGUGUCGGUCCCUCGCGAAAUCCCCACAAAAAGCUCCGAGUGCCGUGGCCCCUGGACCCUUCCCCGCCGCGGUGGCCCGUGUCGUGUCAGCAGGCGCGGGAGGUUGAGCAUCAGCCCUGGGUGUUCAUUGGAAGGACUGAUGCUGAAGCUGAAACUCCAAUACGUUGGCCACCUCAUGCUGAAGAGUUGACUCAUUGGAAAAGACCCUGAUGCUGGGAGGGAUUGGAGGCAGAAGGAGAAGAGGACGACAGAGGAUGAGAUGGCUGGAUGGUAUCACCGACUCGAUGGACAUGAGUUUGAGUAAACUCCGGGAGUUUGUGAUAGACAGGGAGGCCUGGCAUGCUGCGAUUCAUGGGGUUGCAAAGAGUCGGACACGACUGAGCGACUGAACUGAACUGAGCUCGAAAACUUUAGUAUUAUGUGGUCGUUACCAUCCCUGGUGAGCUCGCCUGCAAAGUGGCAGACCCGAGUUGGAUUCCUGGGUUGGGAAGAUCCCCUGGAGGAGGGCAUGGGAACCCACUCAAGUUUUCUUGCCUGGAGGAUUCCAUGGACAGAGGAUCCUGGCGGGCUACAGUUCAUGGGCUCGCAAGGAGUCGGACACGACUGAGUGACCAAGCAUGCACACAGAGCUUAAAGAACACAUAUGGGGAGGCUUUGGACACCUGAUGCGAAGAACCUACUCAUUGAAGAAGACCCUGACUCUGGGAAAGAUGGAAGGCAGGAGGAGAAGGGGAGGACAGAGGAUGAGUUGUUUGGAUGGCAUCACAGACUUAAUGGACAUGUUUUUAUUGAGUCACUCAGUCCAGUCUGUCUUUCUGACCCCAGGGACUGCUGCCGGCCAGGGUUCCCUGUCCUUCACUAUUUCUCCCAGAGUUUACUCAAACUCAGGUCCAUGAAAAGGAAGGAUACACCCGUCUGAAUGCAGAGUUCCAAAGAAUAGCAAAGAGAGAUAAGAAAGCCCUUUGUAAGUGAACAAUGGACAUGAGUUUGAGCAAACUCCAGGAGAUGGUGAAGGACAGGGAAACCUGGCAUGCUGCACUCCAUUGGGUUGCAAAGAAUCAGACACGACUUAGCGACUGAACAACAAGGGAACUACAUUAUUUAUUAUAGUUAUUUCCAACAGCCUAUUUAGGUGAAGAGUUUCAGUACAGUGAAACAAUUCUGGCAAAAGCAACAAAGUGUAACAGAACGUUUGAGAUUUCUUUUGACAGAAUUAGAACAUCUUUAAAUUUAAUAAAAAAAUUUUAAAUACUUCA